CAGCCGCCGCGGUAAUACGAAGGGUGCAAGCGUUAGUCGGAAUUACUGGGCGUAAAGCGUGCGUAGGCGGUUUGUUAAGUCUGCUGUGAAAUCCCCGGGCUCAACCUGGGAAUGGCAGUGGAUACUGGCAAGCUAGAGUGUGUCAGAGGAUGGUGGAAUUCCCGGUGUAGUGGUGAAAUGCGUAGAGAUCGGGAGGAACAUCAGUGGCGAAGGCGGCCAUCUGGGACAACACUGACGCUGAGGCACGAAAGCGUGGGGAGCAAACAGGAUUAGAUACCCGCGUAGUCCCUGUCUCUUAUAC
rnacentral:rRNA from 1 species